rfam:Schistosoma mattheei strain Denwood, Zambia genome assembly, scaffold: SMTD_scaffold0008656
AUCCAGCUAACGAGUCCCAAAUAGGACGAAACACGCGUCCUGGAU